ensembl:misc_RNA Metazoa_SRP Metazoan signal recognition particle RNA
GGUGGCAUGUACCUGUAGUCCAGCUACUCGGGAGGCUGAGGUGGGAGGAUCGCUUGAGCCCAGGAGUUGUGGACUAUAGUGCGCUAUGCCAAUCGAGUGUCUAUACUAAUUCAGCAUCAAUAAGGUGACCUCUGGGGAGCGGGGGAUCACCAGUUUGCCUAAGGAGGGGUGAACCGGCUCAGGUCAGAAAUGGAGUAGGUCAGUAGUAGGGUCACACCUGUGAAUAGCCACUGCACUCCAGCCUGGGCAACAUAGUGAGACCCCGUCUCUU